rnacentral:sRNA from 1 species
GGGAGAAGUCAAAGGAGGUGCUAAGUAACGUUCUCAGUCCAGCUAACAGUGUCUUUAGUUAUACAUAUGGAAAAGUGAAGAGCUUACUCAUAUCUUUAUCUUCCCCAAAAGAGAAAACAUGGGUAAUUUAGGAAGAUAAGCUGCUUUAUUUUUAACUGCAGUGUGUUUUGAAAGAGACUAUGUCAUGAUUCAUCUUACUAGCCUCAAACAUAUCUUCUUUGCCAGGACUCGCCUCUGCACAAAGCCCUCUUUUGGGUAGCUGUGGCUGUGCUGCAGCUUGAUGAGGUCAACUUGUAUUCAGCAGAGUCCAGAGGAAGUAUUUAUGGCAAUCCGGAAUCCUCUGGAGUGGCACUGCAAGCAAAUGGAUCAUUUUGUUGGACUCAAUUUCAACUCUAACUUUAACUUUGCAUUGGUUGGACACCUUUUAAAAGGGUACAGGCAUCCUUCACCUGCCAUUGUUGC